GUAGGUAUACAUGUGGAAAUCUACUAUCUUAAAGGGGCCUGUUUUUCUCCAAGGUUGUUCAGAGUAGUUCUCUCUUAAAGGGCUGGGGCAAGGAAUCCUGGAGGUCAUCUCCCAAGAUGAGACCCAUGUCCCCCUGCGUUAUUGACAAGCAACUCAUAUGAGUCACCCUGAAUCUGAGCUGACGGCCUGAUUUAACAAGGAGAAUAUUAUGACCUUACCCUCCGAGCGAAGGUCACACUCGUCCAGAGCCUGGUCCUGAGCCGUGGUUUGGGCACCGGACACCCCCGCCCCCCGGGCUGGAAGUUCCUCCUUGGCCUCCCUUUCCCCAUCUCCUCCACCAGCACCCUGUGCUCUGGUCUCUGGGCCUGUCUGCCUGCCGUGGUUUACAAGCCCCGCGAGAGACACAGUCACGUCUGUCUGUGUCUGGGCUGUCUCACUCACCUGAGGCCUCUGGGCCCGCACGCCGUCCCAACGGCUGCACAUCCUCCUCCCUGGCUGAGCAGCGUCCCGUUGUGCGUGUGUGAACACCCUGCGUCUGCGCUGGCCCACCCCUCACGGACACCUGGGCCUGCGGCCAUGGGUGCUGUGGACGAAGCUGAGACAACCGCGGACAUGUGGACACCGGGCUGAGUCUGUGUUGCCAUUCAGGGUUUGCCCAGACCCGACAGCGUCCCUAAUGGGAUAGUGUCAGUCAGCAAGAGACUCCGGCUGACUCCAAACCAGACCCUCAGACACCUGCUUUUCACGGAGGCAGUUGUGUACAGUCCUGUGGACCUCAAGCCUCAGACCCUGCGGCCACCACAGCCAGGACCUGCGCCCGGUGGCAGUCAAAACUGGGGCCAUACAGGUGAAUCCAGGGCCACAGCUGUAAGCCGGGGCCACUGACUGUGAGGAGGUCUUCAGAUGCAGCCUCCACGUGGUUCUGCCCCUCUCUGUGUACAGAGACCACUUGGCCACCAGCGGAGCCUUCCUUCCCUCCCCGGC
ensembl:lncRNA